rnacentral:rRNA from 1 species
AUGUGAUCGUCUCUCGCAUAUCAAUAAGCGGAGGAAAAGAAACUAACAAGGAUUCCCCUAGUAACGGCGAGUGAAGCGGGAAGAGCUCAAAUUUGAAAUCUUAAAGGGUUUCCCUUUACGAAUUGUAGUUUAAAGAAGUGUUUUCUGUUGAGGUUUUGGUAAAAGUUCCUUGGAAUAGGACAUCAUAGAGGGUGAGAAUCCCGUAUUUGACCUUUACUUUCAACUUUGUGAUACACUUUCAAAGAGUCGGAUUGUUUGGGAAUGCAGUCCAAAAUGGGUGGUAAAUUUCAUCUAAAGCUAAAUAUUGGCGAGAGACCGAUAGCGAACAAGUACCGUGAGGGAAAGAUGAAAAGAACUUUGAAAAGAGAGUUAAACAGUACGUGAAAUUGUCAAAAGGGAAGCGUUUGACACCAGUGUUGUUUUUCUGAAAAUCAAUUAAAGAACUGUUUAUGCUAAGUUGUUUAGACUUUAUCAGCUAACUGUUUAGUUUUGAGCUUUUCUUUAAUGCACUUUUCAGUUAACAAGUCAACAUCAAUUUCUUUUGCUGUAAAAAAGCUUGAGGAAGGUGGCUUGAGAUUCGUCUUAAGUGUUUAUAGCCUCUUGCCUAUGCAGUCGGAGAGAUUGAGGUCUGCAGCGUAGAUCCUUCGGGGCUAAAUGCAUUUGUGCUAAGUUAUAGCAUUUUAUAGACAACUUGUUGACUAUGAUUUGUCUUGUAGCUUACUCGCUUAUGUUAUUUUACCUACGCUUAGGAUGUUGAAGUCAUCGUAUCGCGC